AUACGGAGGGUCCGAGCGUUAAUCGGAAUUACUGGGCGUAAAGCGUACGUAGGCGGCUUUGUAAGUCGGAUGUGAAAGCCCUGGGCUCAACCUGGGAAUGGCAUUCGAUACUGCAGAGCUAGAGUAUGGUAGAGGGAAGUGGAAUUUCCGGUGUAGCGGUGAAAUGCGUAGAUAUCUGGAGGAACAUCAGUGGCGAAGGCGACUUGCUGGACUAAUACUGACGCUGAGGAGCGAAAGCGUGGGGAGCAAACGGGAUUAGAAACCCUAGUAGUCC
rnacentral:rRNA from 1 species